UAACCGCUUUCACCCAAUCACACCAACAAACUUAGACACAUUUAUUCACUCAUACACAGUCUGAUUGGGAUCUUGGGUUACAUGUCUUGCCCAGCAGUAUACCAACCCACAAUGGAAUCAAACCCAUUUGGAGCAUAAGACCACAACUCCACCCACUGAACCACCAUCACCCUCUGUCUCUUGUUCUGUCCUGCAUGAUCAGCAAGGUGACAUCUUAUAAAUCCUCAGGGUCCAGUUGGCAUUGCCUUGACAGUCAUCAAGGUACCGAUUGGUGACUAUUUCCAUUCAAGUCCAAUUAUCAAUGACUCUAAUCUUGUUCAAUCAAGGCCAAUGCACUGAUAGUCUUCAAGGGUCCUUUGAAGCUCCAAUCUGUAUUACCUCUCCAGUCUUCCAGAAUGUGCUGCUUAAAGCCUUGGCAGCUUUUAAGGGUCUGAUAAGGGAAUUCUUGUCAGUCUUUAGGGCGUAGUUGGCAGCGCCUCGUUUGUUGAGCUGCCGUAAUCUACUCUUUGUCAUAUCAUGUUGAGCUGAGUACAGACACAUUUUGUGUGUGUGUGUGUGUGGAGGGGGGGGGGGGGGGGGGGGGGGGGGUGACUUUUCCACUGCUGCAGAGCGAGACUAGCAGGUGCUGCUUCACCUGUUGCUGCUCAUUUUAGUUCAUCAGGAGGCAAUAUUUAAGGAGCAGCAGAACUAGAGAGGAAUUGCCAGAUAUUUUGAUUCUCCUGAGUCUUACACAGCUGCUCACUCUGCUUCCUGGAAGCCACUUCUCUACCUGUCUGCCCUCCAUCACUGACAGCCACAGGACUUAUCGAGAAACAACUUAAAAAGGAAGAAUACAAACCCCAUCAUGCCCUCUGCUAACCUCAGCCACACAGUACCGACUCUUCAAUGAUCUAUCAUCAUUUCACCAAGAAAGACUAAGAAAAACAAUAACAGAAAGAUUCUCCUCUUCUGCACAUUUCCAUCCUCACACCAGAACCAGACCAAUCUAUCCAUCCUUCCCUCUUGCCACCUGCACAGAGAAGCUCCUGUGGAUCAAGAAGUAAAAACAAAGUAUUUUUUUUACUAUUAUUUCUGUCAGUAAUAAACUCUUUUAUUUGA